GUAAAGGCAGGAAGGAGAGCAGGGUUAUGGCUCGGAGGAAAGUCCAGAGUGCACCAUGGGCAUCAGAUAGCGAAGACCUUACAUAUAAGGUGUAGACAUCCCGAGGGCAGUAGGAAGCCACAGAAAGGGUUUAAAGCCAAAGGGACAUACUUGAUUUGACAUUUCUUUCACUCCUUCGUGCCUUCCUUCACACAUCUACUCCAUCAACCAAUAAAUAUUUACUGAGCAGCCUCUAUUGGAAAGUGACCCGGAGACAGAAGAGAACAGCCAGAGAGGCUGGACUUGGGACAGAGACACAAACAAGGAGCUGAUGAAAUGCUGUAGGCCCAGGCACAGGCACUGCCUGCCUCUUCCCCUGGAUGGGAAACCCCUGAGGGCAAGGGCUCUGCGUGACUCACAGCUGGUGGAGGAACUCUAGUGUUUCUUUCAGGUGGGGAUGGAGAUGCCCUUCAAGGUCGCAGGACCACCCUAAUCGGAACUUUGUAAUGGGUCCAGGCUGGGGGCAGGAGAGACCAAGGGUGAGUUUGUCUGUGGGGGCUUCGUGUGUGACUGGCUGCGAAG